ensembl:miRNA
UUAUAUAGAGCCUGUAGAAAAUAUAGAAGAUUUCAGUGGAUGUUGGUCUAGUUCUGUGUGGAAGACUAGUGAUUUUGUUGUUUUUAGAUAACUAAAUCGACAACAAAUCGCAGUCUGCCAUAUGGCACAGGCCAUGCCUCUACAGGACAA